rnacentral:rRNA from 1 species
GUUCGGUUCCGGAGAGGGAGCCUGAGAAACGGCUACCACUUCUAAGGAAGGCAGCAGGCGCGUAAAUUACCCAAUCCUGAUUCAGGGAGGUAGUGACAAGAAAUAACAACUCGGGGGCUCACGCCUUACGAGAUUGCAAUGAGAACAAUUUAAAAUACUUAUCGGGGAUCAAUUGGAGGGCAAGUCUGGUGCCAGCAGCCGCGGUAAUUCCAGCUCCAAUAGCGUAUAUUAAAGUUGUUGCAGUUAAAAAGCUCGUAGUUGAAUUUCUGGUGAGCUGGUGCCUGUGCUUCGGCCGGGUAACAGUUUCAUCAUCCGUAGGGGAAACCUAUUCGGCCUUCACUGGUCGGUAGGCGGAAUCUACAAUUUACUGUGAAAAAAUUAGAGUGUUUCAGGCAGGCAAUCGCUUGGAUACUCCAGCAUGGAAUAAUGGAAUAGGACUUUUGUCUAUUUGUUGGUUCAAGGCAAAAGUAAUGAUUAACAGGGACAGUUGGGGGCAUUCAUAUUUAAUUGUCAGAGGUGAAAUUCUUGGAUUUAUUAAAGACGAACUUAUGCGAAAGCAUUUGCCAAGGAUGUUUUCA